ACAUAACUGCUUUCCUCCUGAAAUACCACCUUGUAAAGAUAGAGAAAAUGUUACACAGAUUUCUCUGUGUCAUGCAGCUGCUAUGGGGGGAUGGAGGAGGAGUUGCAUUGGCAAUUCAAGACUGCCUUUCUUACCCUUUUCAGUGCCUCUUUCAGUGAUACGAAGCUAAAACCAGAUACUGCUUUCAUAGUACUCUUCUGACCAUGGUUUUCUGGAGUUUUUUCGUAUGGAGUUUGUAAGCUUCCUGACAUGGAUUAUAACUGUACUUGAUGGAGCACAGUUAUAAUAGCUGCUUUAGAGUCCUUGAUAAUUCCCACAUCUGAAUCAUCUCGAGUUAUUUUUGGCAGAUUUUGAUGGAUGUACAUUGAUGGAUAGCCACAUGGAUCCAGAAAAUAAAGACUUCUACUCUGCAUAUUGACUAAAGCAGAAGAUAUGCAGGGAAGCUCAGUCUCUCAAUUGAGUGGAUUCUGAAAUUUAUCCUGUUGUCUUCAGCUACUAAGGCUAAUUUGCAAAUCACACUGUGUACGGGUAAGCAUAAACUGUAAGCAUAUAUAUUAAUCUUCAUUUUUUUAAAUUGUAAU
rnacentral:lncRNA from 1 species